rnacentral:lncRNA from 1 species
GAACUCAAAAUCCCGGACAAAAUGCUGCGACAUUCAGAUAUGGGAAUAUAUCUACUCAGGGCAAUUAUAAUCCAAGACAAGGGAAUUACAAUCAACAACAACAGAACUACAAUCAGCACACUCAGAUGCAUCCACAACAAGGUCAAGCACAUCUCACCAAAAUCUGAUGCAGCCACAACACUCUUCAAUACCGAAUCAACAUGUUCAAG